UGGGGAAUAUUGCGCAAUGGGCGAAAGCCUGACGCAGCAACGCCGCGUGAGUGAUGAAGGCCUUCGGGUCGUAAAGCUCUGUCGAAUGGGACGAAAGACUCGCGAGUGAAUACUUCGCGAGAGUGACGGUACCGUUAAAGGAAGCCACGGCUAACUCUGUGCCAGCAGCCGCGGUAAUACAGAGGUGGCAAGCGUUGUUCGGAAUUACUGGGCGUAAAGGGCGCGUAGGCGGCCCUCUAAGUCAGACGUGAAAUCCCCCGGCUUAACCUGGGAACUGCGUCUGAUACUGGAGGGCUUGAGUAUGGGAGAGGGAUGUAGAAUUCCAGGUGUAGCGGUGAAAUGCGUAGAUAUCUGGAGGAAUACCGGUGGCGAAGGCGGCAUCCUGGACCAUUACUGACGCUGAGGCGCGAAAGCUAGGGGAGCAAACGGGAUUAGAUACCCACGUAGUCCCUGAGCGGGCUGGCAAGGCGCAU
rnacentral:rRNA from 1 species